CCCCGUAUAGCUCAAUUGGUAGAGCAAGGCAUCAAUACUGCCUGGGUUAGGGGUCCGAUUUCCCACUGGGGCUA